rnacentral:rRNA from 1 species
GACGAACGCUGGCGGCGUGCUUAACACAUGCAAGUCGAACGGAAAGGCCCUGCUUUUGUGGGGUGCUCGAGUGGCGAACGGGUGAGUAACACGUGAGUAACCUGCCCCUGACUUUGGGAUAACUUCAGGAAACUGGGGCUAAUACCGGAUAGGAGCUCCUGCUGCAUGGUGGGGGUUGGAAAGUUUCGGCGGUUGGGGAUGGACUCGCGGCUUAUCAGCUUGUUGGUGGGGUAGUGGCUUACCAAGGCUUUGACGGGUAGCCGGCCUGAGAGGGUGACCGGCCACAUUGGGACUGAGAUACGGCCCAGACUCCUACGGGAGGCAGCAGUGGGGAAUAUUGCACAAUGGGCGGAAGCCUGAUGCAGCAACGCCGCGUGCGGGAUGACGGCCUUCGGGUUGUAAACCGCUUUCGCCUGUGACGAAGCGUGAGUGACGGUAAUGGGUAAAGAAGCACCGGCUAACUUCGUG